AGGAAGUAAAAGUCGUAACAAGGUCUCCGUAGGUGAACCUGCGGAGGGAUCAUUACCGAGUUCAUGCCCUUACGGGUAGAUCUCCCACCCUAUGUUAUCUUACCUUUGUUGCUUUGGCGGGCCGACAGGCUUCGGUCAGUCUACCGGCUCCGGCUGGUAAGCGCCCGCCAGAGGACCCCAAACUCUGAAUUUUAGUGUCGUCUGAGUACUAUCUAAUAGUUAAAACUUUCAACAACGGAUCUCUUGGUUCUGGCAUCGAUGAAGAACGCAGCGAAAUGCGAUAAGUAAUGUGAAUUGCAGAAUUCAGUGAAUCAUCGAAUCUUUGAACGCACAUUGCGCCCCUUGGUAUUCCGAGGGGCAUGCCUGUUCGAGCGUCAUUACAACCCUCAAGCUCUGCUUGGCAUUGGGCUCCGCGGCUUACCCCGCGGGCCUUAAAAUCAGUGGCGGCGUCUUCAGGCUCUGAACGUAGUAAAUAUUCCUCGUUACGGAG
rnacentral:misc_RNA from 1 species